UGAAGCCCUUCGGGGUGGAUUAGUGGCGAACGGGUGAGUAACACGUGGGCAAUCUGCCCUUCACUCUGGGACAAGCCCUGGAAACGGGGUCUAAUACCGGAUAUCACUUUCUCUCGCAUGGGAGAGGGUUGAAAGCUCCGGCGGUGAAGGAUGAGCCCGCGGCCUAUCAGCUUGUUGGUGGGGUAAUGGCCUACCAAGGCGACGACGGGUAGCCGGCCUGAGAGGGCGACCGGCCACACUGGGACUGAGACACGGCCCAGACUCCUACGGGAGGCAGCAGUGGGGAAUAUUGCACAAUGGGCGAAAGCCUGAUGCAGCGACGCCGCGUGAGGGAUGACGGCCUUCGGGUUGUAAACCUCUUUCAGCAGGGAAGAAGCGAAAGUGACGGUACCUGCAGAAGAAGCGCCGGCUAACUACGUGCCAGCAGCCGCGGUAAUACGUAGGGCGCAAGCGUUGUCCGGAAUUAUUGGGCGUAAAGAGCUCGUAGGCGGCCUGUCACGUCGGAUGUGAAAGCCCGGGGCUUAACCCCGGGUCUGCAUUCGAUACGGGCAGGCUAGAGUGUGGUAGGGGAGAUCGGAAUUCCUGGUGUAGCGGUGAAAUGCGCAGAUAUCAGGAGGAACACCGGUGGCGAAGGCGGAUCUCUGGGCCAUUACUGACGCUGAGGAGCGAAAGCGUGGGGAGCGAACAGGAUUAGAUACCCUGGUAGUCCACGCCGUAAACGUUGGGAACUAGGUGUUGGCGACAUUCCACGUCGUCG
rnacentral:rRNA from 1 species